rnacentral:lncRNA from 1 species
GUUCCGUUUUCAUUUAUUUUCUUGUGGGUGUUCAAAACCCCGAAUCCUCCCACAAGUACCCGCCACUGAGGUAGCAAUACACAGUUAGGAGUUUUGUUUCGCAUUUUGAUCCCGGUUGAUUUUUCAAAUAAGAAAGUUAUGUUUAAAAAAAAAUCAUUUUUAGACAGCUGAGUACUAAAAAAUUAUUAGAUUGUAAAAGGUACCAAGAUAUAUUAUGAAUAUUAAGAAGGCUAUACUGAAAAUUCUAGAAUAGUAUCUAUUUACAUCAAUAACUAUGUACAAUGUAGAUAUGCUCAUCGUAUCGAAUAUCCCUACUGUCGGAUGAGCGAAGUCAAGGUUAUAGUAUUUUUAUUAUCAAGGCCAUUUUGGAAUUGUUGUUUCCUGUUUGUUUGACGGUAUGCCUUCCAGUCAAUGAACAGCAAUGGAUAUUUCAUGUUAAAAUCAAUAGACGAAUUUUGCUCUUGACUUAUACCAUCUUGGUUUCAAUAUCUACAUCUAGGUUUUCUACAUCCCUGGCUUUCAAUAUGGUUUUGGUUUAAGCGUUCC